rnacentral:rRNA from 1 species
GACGAACGCUGGCGGCGUGCUUAACACAUGCAAGUCGAACGGAAAGGCCCUGCUUUUGUGGGGUGCUCGAGUGGCGAACGGGUGAGUAACACGUGAGUAACCUGCCCUUGACUUUGGGAUAACUUCAGGAAACUGGGGCUAAUACCGGAUAGGAGCUCCUGCUGCAUGGUGGGGGUUGGAAAUUUUCGGCGGUUGGGGAUGGACUCGCGGCUUAUCAGCUUGUUGGUGGGGUAGUGGCUUACCAAGGCUUUGACGGGUAGCCGGCCUGAGAGGGUGACCGGCCACAUUGGGACUGAGAUACGGCCCAGACUCCUACGGGAGGCAGCAGUGGGGAAUAUUGCACAAUGGGCGGAAGCCUGAUGCAGCAACGCCGCGUGCGGGAUGACGGCCUUCGGGUUGUAAACCGCUUUCGCCUGUGACGAAGCGUGAGUGACGGUAACGGGUAAAGAAGCACCGGCUAACUACGUG